rnacentral:rRNA from 1 species
AUGGGGUGCGGAGGCGGAGGAGAUGCUGACGAAGGCGACGAGGCGAAGGGAAAGGAGGAUGCGCUCGCAUCCAGUAGGCUCCUCGAUCCGGAAUUCAAGCCCUCCAAGCUGUCCCAAGAUCAGCUCGACAAGUUUAAGGAAUUGCACAAGAAAUGGCUACAAAUAAAGGAAAAAACAAAAUCCAAAGGAAAACCUAAAGGAAGAACUGGGGCGAAUACAAAUGUAGCCAAUGAUUCUAAAUUUAAUAAUAAGGAUAAAUCAAUUGAUAGUGCCGCAAUAGAUGUACAGCAUACAACAUCAACUACAGGAGCCCAAGCGAAUCUUGCACCGUCCCUGCCCUUGAGGAACAAAAGGAAGUUGCAUUGGGGGCUUGAUGUUAAAGAACGGUGGGAGAGGAAAGCAAACAUGUGA